GACGAACGCUGGCGGCGUGCUUAACACAUGCAAGUCGAACGGAAAGGCCCUGCUUUUGUGGGGUGCUCGAGUGGCGAACGGGUGAGUAACACGUGAGUAACCUGCCCUUGACUUUGGGAUAACCUCAGGAAACUGGGGCUAAUACCGGAUAGGAGCUCCUGCUGCAUGGUGGGGGUUGGAAAGUUUCGGCGGUUGGGGAUGGACUCGCGGCUUAUCAGCUUGUUGGUGGGGUAGUGGCUUACCAAGGCUUUGACGGGUAGCCGGCCUGAGAGGGUGACCGGCCACAUUGGGACUGAGAUACGGCCCAGACUCCUACGGGAGGCAGCAGUGGGGAAUAUUGCACAAUGGGCGGAAGCCUGAUGCAGCAACGCCGCGUGCGGGAUGACGGCCUUCGGGUUGUAAACCGCUUUCGCCUGUGACGAAGCGUGAGUGACGGUAAUGGGUAAAGAAGCACCGGCUAACUACGUGCCAGCAGCCGCGGUGAUACGUAGGGUGCGAGCGUUGUCCGGAUUUAUUGGGCGUAAAGGGCUCGUAGGUGGUUGAUCGCGUCGGAAGUGUAAUCUUGGGGCUUAACCCUGAGCGUGCUUUCGAUACGGGUUGACUUGAGGAAGGUAGGGGAGAAUGGAAUUCCUGGUGGAGCGGUGGAAUGCGCAGAUAUCAGGAGGAACACCAGUGGCGAAGGCGGUUCUCUGGGCCUUUCCUGACGCUGAGGAGCGAAAGCGUGGGGAGCGAACAGGCUUAGAUACCCUGGUAGUCCACGCUGUAAACGGUGGGUACUAGGUGUGGGGUCCAUUCCCACGGGUUCCGUGCCGUAUCUAACGCUUUAAGUACCCCGCCUGGGGAGUACGGCCGCAAGGCUAAUACUCAAAGGAAUUGACGGGGCCCCGCACAAGCGGCGGAGCAUGCGGAUUAAUUCGAUGCAACGCGUAGAACCUUACCUGGGUUUGACAUGUAUCGGGAGUGCUCAGAGAUGGGUGUGCCUCUUUUGGGGUCCGUUCACAGGUGGUGCAUGGCUGUCGUCAGCUCGUGUCUUGAGAUGUUGGGUUAAGUCCCGCAUCGAGCGCAACCCCUUGUUCUCUGUUGCCAGCACGUUUUGGUGGGGACUCAGUGGAUACCCGUCCGGCUCAACUCAGUAGGAUGGUGGCGACGACGUCUACUCCUCGUGCCCCCUUAUGCCCUGUUCUUCAUCUUUGCUAAUAUGGCGUGGUACCAGAGAGUGGCGAGCCUGUUAGGUUGAGCGAAUCUCCGAAGGGCGGUCUCUAGUUCCGGAUUGGGGUCUGCACUUCAACCUCCUGAAGUCCGAGUUCGCAAGUCAUCCCUUAUCCCAUCUCUGCGAUUAAUACUUUCCGGGGUCU
rnacentral:rRNA from 1 species